UACGUAGGGGGCAAGCGUUGUCCGGAUUUAUUGGGCGUAAAGAGCGUGUAGGCGGCCUGAAAGGUCAGCUGUGAAAACUCGAGGCUCAACCUCGAGACGUCGGUUGAAACCAUCUGGCUAGAGUCCGGAAGAGGAGUGUGGAAUUCCCGGUGUAGCGGUGAAAUGCGCAGAUAUCGGGAAGAACACCCGUGGCGAAGGCGGCACUCUGGGACGGUACUGAC
rnacentral:rRNA from 1 species